AGUGAACGCUGGCGGCAGGCCUAACACAUGCAAGUCGAACGGCAGCACAGUGAUUGCUUGCGCUUACGGGUGGCGAGGGGCGGACGAUGCCGGGAAAUAUCCGAAUCUGCUUUUUCGUAGGGCUUAACGUAGGGGAACUUACUCCAUUACCGCAUACGACCUACGUGGGAGAGCAUGGGAUCUUUUGACCUUGCGGGAUUGAAUGACCGGAUGUCUGAUUGGUUGGUUGGCGGGGUAAAGGCCCACCAAGGCGACGAUGCGUGGCUGGUCUGAUAGGAUGAUCAGCCACCCUGGAAGUGAGACACGGUCCAGACUCCUACGGGAGGCAGCAGUGGGGAAUAUUGGACAAUGGGCGAAAGCCUGAUCCAGCCAUACCGCGUGGGUGAAGAAGGCCUUCGGGUUGUAAAGCCCUUUUGUUGGGAAAGAACAGCAGCAGGUUAAUACCAAGCUGUUCUGACGGUACCGAGAGAAUAAGCACCGGCUAACUUCGUG
rnacentral:rRNA from 1 species